CAAUAAAUCCAAUUUAUGAACACAUAGGAUAUACAACUUUAAACAGAGAGCCAGCACACAAAAAACAUAUGCCAACCCUGAGAGAUGCACAUGAUGGCAAAGACUCUACAGGAGAGGAUGAGGUAGCAGAAAAGAGGAGUCUAAGAGACUUCGGUCUUCAUCACUCCAGCCUCCAAACAUUUGUUGGGAUUUGUCACAGAGCUGCAGCCUGUGCUUGGAAACCACCAAUCCCUUUUAUCAUUGGUUUGUUGUAAGUCAGGCUCACUGUUCAGCAGACUAGCAGCACUGGGAGCUCACUGGGAAACUUUGUGGGCCUUCUCUUGGGCUGCUCUUGUUGAAAAUUGAAACAAUGUUAGGAAUUGUCUAGCGGUACCACUAGUUGAGUACUAGUUGAGGGUGGGAGUACAAACAAAAGUUGCUACUUCAGAUGAAAAAUGUGACUAAGUAAGAAGAAAGCAGUUACGCUGGAUAAAUAUUUAAUUCCCGUUGUCAAUAACUGAAUUUAAGAAAUAAAACUAUACCACAGACUUAGAGCAUGUUAAACUUAGUCAAAAACUAUGCUCAAGAGAAGAGCUUCUAUCCAAAGAUCAUACACCUCUAAAAUCCCAACCGUCAGAUCUUUGACUUACUUAGUGGGACCUGAGACCAGCGUAUUUCAGCUGAAAAUAGACAUCACCUGAAAAUUGUGUAGCAAAAAACUACAGACUCAACAAAUGAAAAAAACUAAACUAAAGCAAAGUUCCUCCUCUGUAACAGAAGUUGUACAACCUGUACACAUGCUGAUUCCUGCUUCUCCCCAAAAGAUAAGAAAUCUAUAUACCCCACAUUUAUGAUGGAGACUUGCACUCCCCACUUUGAAUCAUUCAAAAUGAUUCAUUUUUCAAAUCAAGACAUUAAGUUUGCUUCCAAGAUGCUGAUUUUGGCCAUUUGAUAUAAUGGUUACUUGAGUGCUUGUUUCAAGUAAGAAAUUUUAAUAGCUAUUGCUUCCUCUAGGGAAAUGGAAUGCUUCCUGCCUUUACACGAGUAUUUUCAUGACAGAAGCAUUUAAAAAUGUUAAUUAGGAAACUUAGUGGGAAUAAAUAGGAAAGAUGAACCAUAUGGGAGAAAGGAGAAAUGUGAAAACUGGAACAAUUGGAAAUUGUUCAACGUAAUGUAAAACAAUGUUUGUUUGUUCUUUUUUUUCCCGAGUCUCUAAUCAGGGAUUAGACUUUAUGGGUGGCAAUAAACUGAUAAUUUGACUUCGGGACUUUUCAGAGUGUAAUUCCACUCUGGUUUCCUUCAUUGCAAGUUUCAAAUCAAUCCUGAUUUAAAUAGAGAUGGAAAUAGCAAGAAAAGAAGGGGCCAGCAUGAGAGGCUCAUUUGAAGGAUUAUCAGCCAUCCUCAUCUUCUCAGUCUGCCUAAAUACAUUGUGGAAAAUGAAGGUAGACCUUGACCCACUGCACUGGCGCAGCUCUACCCACGGACAUAGAUGAACCUAGAGAAUUGUUAACUGGGGUCUGCCAGAAGUGCUGAUGGACACUUGGGAUCAUCGUGUUUUGCAGUUUUUCUGUAGUGAGGUGGUCCAUAAGCAGAUUUUUACCAUUGUAAAUUGUGUGUGAAUGUUUUCUGUCAAUGUCACAACUCUGGUAUUCUUUCAGAGUAAAAAAUGUUUUCACCUUGAUUCAUGGAGUUGAAUUAAAUGUUAUUUAAAGAAA